UGUUUGGUGGUGUAUAUCGCCAACGUCGCUCCAGCCGCCCCCAAGGCAAAAGUUACCAGAAACAACCCCAACCAUCUCUUUCUACAAGUACUUGCCGAUUCAACUAUAUUAAUUCAUCUUCCCUUCAGCCAACCCCUGCUGUAACUGCCCGUCUUGGGGGCGGCUGAAAAUUUGCGACAAGUAAGUUUAAAGUACGUUUAGCAGUCAGUCGGUUACAGGUUAGCUAACAGUUCACAAAACUUUGGCGACCUGCUUAAGAAAAAGUGAAUUGAGAGGAGUGUUCGUGCUAAAGUUGGUGGUAGUCUAUGUGUGGAUCUGGUGUGCGUUCGGCGAAAAGGGUGUUGGUAAGAGUUGAAGUUGCAUUGAGACUCGACUUCAAAGUGAGCUAGUUUUGUGUAAGAAUCGAAAACUCCAGAAGACGGCUACGAUUAUAUACGAGGUCGUAACUCAAAGAAAACCGUGCACUGCCGUGUGUGCAAACGGCACUGGCAAGCGGCAUUAAAUAAUGUGUUUAUAUAGUUUUAAAGCCGGAUUAAGUCAGUUAUAACACCUGGUGUCUUAUGUUGGCGUCUACAACAACAACAAAAAUAAUACUAAAAAGUAUUGACGAAUUGCGAAGAAAAUAUUAACUCAGUAGCAAAAACAGUAAUUUCAUUCAAGUCGUGCUGUUAGAUAAUAGGUAUGCGUAUUUUAAUGAGCAUUUAAGUUCUUCAGUUGUCGAUUUUUUCAAGUACGAAGAAAAGUCUGGAUAAGCAGCAUCGGUGACCGAAGUCAGCAAAUCUCCCGAAACGGUGGAUAAAAAGAAAAUCAAAAGGCGAAGUCGGUAAGGAGAGAUUACUUCUAAAAGUGGAACAAAAAAAAAAUUGCAGAUUAUCAGCACCGCGCUAAGGUUCUUGAUUAUUCGAAAAGAAGUUAUUGUAGAUGAAGUUACCGAAGUGAAGGAAGAAAGUUGGAUAAAAGCUCAUUUAAUAGAAGUGCUGUCUAUCUGCACAUGACCACAUGCGAUAUUUUGUCUGGUCAGAGCAUCCCAGUGGUGACAACAGAAAAGUUACGAAAACAAACAUUUCUGAAGAAUGAGUGCUCGGAAAAAGGAAGAGCGAAGGAAAAGGUCUAGAGAUUAGGAAGUUUGAAAAUUUUUGCGAAACACAGCCACGAAAAUUUGCAGGACCUAUAUGAAACAGCUCUCGGAUACGCGUAGCAACCGCUAAGGUCAUUGGUGGAUUUGUAAUAGAUAGCACACUCACAAAAGGAACAAAUGUAUUGCGGAGUCACACUGCAGUAAAAUCUCCCACAAAAUCAACAUAAAUGGAUACCGAUAACCUCCAUUGUUCAAAAAAUGACCACGCAAAUGGAUUCCGGAAGUGUUGGUGCUUUUAGGUCUCUGCCGCCUUCAGUGGUAGCGGGUGAAGUGGCGCGGGAAGUGGUAAGUUACGAAUCUCGACCGCGAAGCUGUAUCAAAUAUGUCAUCACGACUGUGUCCGCUUUCCAACAAUAAACACCGACAAUGUAUCAACCUUCCCGUACAACAACGUCAGCAACAAGUAGCGGCUUCGCAAUCGACAACAGCCAUUUCGUCUCAAUCAGCAAUUGCCAUUCAUCGUCCAGCAAACAUGUGAAGUACGAUGCCGGCAGCCAUAAAUCUCCCAAAAGACGCUAGGGAAUAAAACCCGCUGGUUACCAAUACCCAGAAAAGUGUUAGGCAUUUGAUAAACAUAUUGGAAUCGAAGUUCAUCCCUUAAAUUGGACAGCACACCCAUGUUUCUGAAUGUAUUCUCAUCAAGGGCGCACCCACUUAGGGCAAUGAUAAUACCAACAUAAAGGCAUGAUGGCCUAUUUGGCGGAAAACUCGAUGUACAAACGCUGUAUAUACAAAUAGAUGGACAUCCAAGUAUAAGCUCGGACUGUGUGAUUCGGAGCAAUGCAAGCAAGCAUGACAAAGAGGCCUUGGAGAGCAGAUGAAGACGUUAUUGGCAAAUAAUAACAAGCCAGAUAAAUCACUGAACAAAACCAUAGACAUAGGGAUAGGCAAUAGGUUCAAGACAAUGUACCAGCAGUUACAAAUGGGACGAAGCGACUAUGACUAUACCAUGCGUCGACGAUUCAAGAUCAGCUUAAUAGUAUUAAGGUCAAAUUAGUUUUUAAGGUAGGGGUUGAAAUCUAUCAACUUACGUUGAUCCGCCCUGGAAAAUGUUGGCAUUGACACAGAAGCCCAGUAAUAGAAUGGUGAUCGUCUGCACGAAGACACCGGUUUGAACUAAGGAUAUGCAUUAUCCUAUUACUUUGAUGCGAUUAAAUCGGGGCAGAAAAAACGAUUCAGUGGCCACUUAAUUUUGUCAAAUCAUCGCUGUGAUCCGCGGGCUGCUUUUUUUCUCGCUAUUAGCAUUACGAUAACUUACAUGCUGACAAAUCAUAGUUAUAACAUAUAUACAUACACACACAAUAUCUAAUAAUAAUAAUAAUAAUAAUCAGAGCAGCAUCAGUAGUAAGUAUAAUAACAGAUCUUCACUUAGUUAUAUACGACAAUUUAUACACGAUUACGAUUGUUUUAAGGGUAACCGUGAUGUGGGCAGACCUAUGGCGCAAAUGAAAUGAUUUCCAGUUGCACACACGCUCACAAAGAGCUAGAUACUAUAUAAUAGAUAAUAUAUAAUAGAUAUAACGGAUAACAUUUCCUAUAGAUAUUUGCACAGUCGGUCUUGAGUAACAUCUGCUACAUCGACCAAAAAUAUUACCCAAUAGAAAAAAUCCCUGCUAUUUCGUCUUUCUAUCUAAAAAUAGCACUACAUAUGCUACUGCGUCAAUGAACUUCUUUGCUGUGUGCAUAUGUCCAAUACUGCGGAGCAACUUCCCGCACUACUAUCUUCAUCAACGAGGACAGCCGGUAAUAUCGCUUAGAUACGAAAAAUCAAUGGAGAAAAAAUAAUCCUGAUUAGAAGACAGGAGUAAUUACCGUUUUCG